CGGCCUCUGCUUCCCCACCUGCUUGCUAUUUAGCCCAACACUAACCCACCAAGACGAUGCUCAGGUGUGCCGCGUCGCAUCCCAGGCUAGAAAAGGUGGAUGAAGAGGGAGGGAGCACCUCAUUGGGAACAAGAGUUGGAUGAAGAGGACGUGUCGUCUUCCCUGCUGUUGCCGCCCUGCCCCCCUCCGACUACCGCACCCCCCCCCCCCGGCCGCCACCGCCGCCGCCGCGGCCGAAAGGACCCACCCUGCCCCCAAUGGUUCGCCCCCAUCACUCCCGACACACCCAACAGCACCCACAUUUCUGCUUCCCGAAUGCCCCUACCUAUGUCUGCCUUGCUGCUGCGAUGCGAUGCUGGAAGCCUGACCUUCCUGCCACCAUCUACUUCCAUUAUGUGCCCUGGUCAAUAAAGUUUGCCUCUGAGCCAC